rnacentral:rRNA from 1 species
CGGAAUAGCCAUUAGAAAUGGUGGGUAAUACUGUAUAAUCCCCGAGGGGGAAAGAUUAUCGCUAUUAGAUGAGCCUACGUUAGAUUAGCUAGUUGGUGAGGUAAUGGCUUACCAAGGCUAUGAUCUAUAGCUGGUCUGAGAGGACGAUCAGCCACACUGGAACUGAGAUACGGUCCAGACUCCUACGGGAGGCAGCAGUGGGGAAUAUUGGACAAUGGGCGAAAGCCUGAUCCAGCUAUGCCGCGUGAGUGAAGAAGGCCUUCGGGUUGUAAAACUCUUUCAAUAGGGAAGAUAAUGACGGUACCUAUAGAAGAAGUCCCGGCAAACUCUGUGCCAGCAGCCGCGGUAAUACGGAGGGGGCAAGCGUUGUUCGGAAUUAUUGGGCGUAAAGGGCACGUAGGUGGACUAGUAAGUUAAAAGUGAAAUACCAAAGCUUAACUUUGGAGCGGCUUUUAAUACUG